GAUGAAGAACGUAGCGAAAUGCGAUAAGUAAUGUGAAUUGCAGAAUUCAGUGAAUCAUCGAAUCUUUGAACGCACAUUGCGCCCGCCAGUAUUCUGGCGGGCAUGCCUGUUCGAGCGUCAUUUCAACCCUCAGGCCCCGCCUGGCGUUGGGGAUCGGCGCGGCCCUCUCCGGGCUGCCGGCCCCGAAAACUAGUGGCGGUCUCGCUGUAGUCCUCCUCUGCGCAGUAGCAACGCUCGCACUGGAACUCGGCGCGGCCACGCCGUAAAACACCCCACUUCUGAAAGUUGACCUCGGAUCAGGUAAGAAUACCCGCUGAACUUAAGCAUAUCAAUAAGCGGAGGA
rnacentral:misc_RNA from 1 species